rnacentral:rRNA from 8 species
AGACCCGAAACCCGGUGAUCUAGCCAUGGGCAGGUUGAAGGUUGGGUAACACUAACUGGAGGACCGAACCGACUAAUGUUGAAAAAUUAGCGGAUGACCUGUGGCUGGGGGUGAAAGGCCAAUCAAACCGGGAGAUAGCUGGUUCUCCCCGAAAGCUAUUUAGGUAGCGCCUCGUGAACUCAUCUCCGGGGGUAGAGCACUGUUUCGGCUAGGGGGCCAUCCCGGCUUACCAACCCGAUGCAAACUGCGAAUACCGGAGAAUGUUAUCACGGGAGACACACGGCGGGUGCUAACGUCCGUCGUGAAGAGGGAAACAACCCAGACCGCCAGCUAAGGUCCCAAAGUCAUGGUUAAGUGGGAAACGAUGUGGGAAGGCCCAGACAGCCAGGAUGUUGGCUUAGAAGCAGCCAUCAUUUAAAGAAAGCGUAAUAGCUCACUGGUCGAGUCGGCCUGCGCGGAAGAUGUAACGGGGCUAAACCAUG